UCUCCAUUUCUUCAACAAACCAGAGAAGGUCGAAGGCACAGAAAUUAUGGGUUGGGUCUUAGGAAAUGAAAACAAACACAGGGAAAGAACAAAGAAUUGAGAUCCUUUUCAGGAGUAAUUUUGGUUGGGUGAAACGGAUUAGACUUGGGACAGAAGAACAGAUAAAAAGAAAACAAUGAGAACGAUGGGGAGAGAAUUUGUUUGGUUGCGAUUUCGUUUCUUCGGAAGAAUAAAUCUGACAAAGUAAGCUUCAUCAAAUCAAAAGGCGAAUGGCACUGCGAUGGGGUUUCAACUUUCAACAAAAUUUCUAAUUCUUCGGUUGCUGUUGAUCUACGAAUCAGUGGGGGAAGCACUUGAAAUGAAGAUGGGAAAGCGUCCAAAUGGGCACAAAACCCCAGAAAAUGCAGAUGGGGGCAUAAAGUCAAGGCUGUAGGUGUUGGGUGUUGGCACACAUAUAUGCCUUGGUGGUUGCUGCUUAUCACAUGCCUCCCAAGAACCUCUCUCCACAACUCUUGCUGCUUUGCUUGAUCCACAACUCUACCACAUUAUUGCAUUCAAGCUCUGUUAAAUGGGAAGCCCACUGUUGUGGAGUUCUACGCAGAUUGGUGAGAAGUUUGUAGGCAAUUGGCUACAGUAGUAUACAAAGUAGAUCAACACUAGAAGCUAUAAUCUUGUUCAAUUACUUGUUUUCGAUAAUACGAAGUAGAUCAACACUAGAAGCUAUAAUCUUGUUCAAUUACUUGUUUUCGAUAAUACGAAGUGGGAGCACGGGGUUGAUGAGUUUGGACAAAGAAGAGAAUGAAGAGGGUUAUUGUAGUUGGCCGACUUCCAAAGCAAUAUCUGCUUGAAACAUUAAAUGUUUUCCAUUGGAUAUACAAAUCAUGGUGAAGUGUAAGACAUUAAAUGUCCUACAAAAGAGCUUCCCCUUCUUUUU